ACACAUGCAACGUCGAACGGUAACAGGAGGAAUGCUUGCUUCUUUGCUGCACGAGUGGCGGACGGGUGAGUAAUGUCUGGGAAACUGCCUGAUGGAGGGGGAUAACUACUGGAAACGGUAGCUAAUACCGCAUAACGUCGCAAGACCAAAGAGGGGGACCUUAGGGCCUCUUGCCAUCGGAUGUGCCCAGAUGGGAUUAGCUAGUAGGUGGGGUAAAGGCUCACCUAGGCGACGAUCCCUAGCUGGUCUGAGAGGAUGACCAGCCACACUGGAACUGAGACACGGUCCAGACUCCUACGGGAGGCAGCAGUGGGGAAUAUUGCACAAUGGGCGCAAGCCUGAUGCAGCCAUGCCGCGUGUAUGAAGAAGGCCUUGGGGUUGUAAAGUACUUUCAGCGGGGAGGAAGGGAGUAAAGUUAAUACCUUUGCUCAUUGACGUUACCCGCAG
rnacentral:rRNA from 1 species